CCUACGGGAGGCUGCAGUGAGGAAUAUUGGUCAAUGGACGAGAGUCUGAACCAGCCAAGUAGCGUGAAGGAUGACGGCCCUAUGGGUUGUAAACUUCUUUUAUAUGGGAAUAAAAUGUUCCACGUGUGGGCUUUUGUAUGUACCCUGUGAAUAAGGCUCGGCUAACUCCGUGCCAGCCGCCGCGGUAAUACGGAGGAGCCGAGCGUUAUCCGGAUUUAUUGGGGUUAAAGGGAGCGUAGGUGGAUUGUUAAGUCCGGUGUGAAAGUUUGCGGCUCAACCGUAAACUUGCCGUUGAACCUGGCAGUCUUGAGUACAGUAGAGGUGGGCGGAAUGCGUGGUGUAGCGGUGAAAUGCUUAGAUAUCACGCAGAACUCCGAUUGCGAAGGCAGUUCACUGGACUGCAACUGACACUGAGGCGCGAAAGUGUGGGUAUCAAACAGGAUUAGAUACCCUAGUAGUC
rnacentral:rRNA from 1 species